GGAUGCCGAAGGCUACGAGGAGCACAUCGCCGGGCUGCUGGCGACGGUGGCCCAGCUGCAUCGAAGGGCCGAGCAGCUGCAGCACCGCACGAGCAGGGAGGAUGAGGAGGGCUGGGAGGGCAUCGCCAGCCUCCCCGCUGCCAGCCCACAGCCCCGCACCUCGACAGCACGCUCCACACCGCUGCUGCUCGGGAAGCUCACAGCCCUGACCUCUUCACCGACCUGCAGCACGCCGUGAGCUCGCUGGAACGCGCUGUUUUCUCCCGGCACCGGCAAGCACCAGCGCAACCCAUGCCGGGCGAGGAGUGGGCACGGGCGGCCAAGAGCCUGGAGGAGCUAAACCGGGCACCAGGCUGGACCGGGAGGGCGAUGCACCGGGAC